GUACCCGCUGAACUUAAGCAUAUCAAUAAGCGGAGGAAAAGAAAGCAACUGCGAUUGCCCUAGUAACGGCGAGUGAAGAGGCAGCAGCCCAGAUUUGAAAUCUGGCUCCCUUGUGGGGUCCGAGUUGUAAUCUGCAGAGGGUUAGUCCGGUUAGCCUCCCGCCUAGUUCCCUGGAACGGGACGCCGUAGAGGGUGAUAGCCCCGUACGGCGGGCUGGCGAGCCGAUGUGACUGCCCUUCGAAGAGUCGCAUAGUUUGGGAAUGCUGUGCAAAGUGGGAGGUAUGCUCCUCCUAAGGCUAAAUACCGGCUGGAGACCGAUAGCGCACAAGUAGAGUGAUCGAAAGAUGAAAAGCACUUUGAAAAGAGGGUUAAAUAGUACGUGAAAUUGUUGAAAGGGAAGCGCCCGCGACCAGACUCGCGGCUGGCGGAUCAUCCUGCUCCUCGCAGGUGCGCUCCGCCAGCCGCGGGCCAGCAUCGGUCAGGCUCGCCGUGCAAAGACGCCAGGAACGUAGCCCCCCGUCAGGGGGGUGUUAUAGCCUGACGCGCAAUGCGGUGGGCCUGCCCGAGGACCGCGCCUUUACCGGCAAGGAUGCUGGCGUAAUGGUCGUCGGCGGCCCGUCUUGAAACACGGACCAAGGAGUCGUCCUCGCGCGCGAGUGUGCGGGUGUAAAGCCCCUGCGCGUAGUGAAAGCGAACGCUGGUGGGAGCCUCGGCGCACCACCGACCGAUCCUGAUGUUCUCGGAUGGAUUUGAGUAAGAGCGUGCGGGGCCGGACCCGAAAGAGGGUGAGCUAUACUUGACUAGGGCGAAGCCAAGGGAAACCUUGGUGGAGGCUCGCAGCGGUUCUGACGUGCAAAUCGAUCGUCAAAGUUGAGUAUGGGGGCGAAAGACUAAUCGAACCUUCUAGUAGCUGGUUUCUGCCGAAGUUUCCCUCAGGAUAGCAAUACCGAUCUCAGUUUUAUGAGGUAAAGCGAAUGAUUAGAGACUCGGGGGCGACAUAUAGCCUUCAUCUAUUCUCAAACUUUAAAUAUGUAAGAAGCCCUUGUUACUUAGUUGAACGUGGGCAUUCGAAUGCUCGGUAUUAGUGGGCCCGUUUUGGUAAGCAGAACUGGCG
rnacentral:rRNA from 1 species